rnacentral:rRNA from 1 species
UACGGGGGGGGCAAGCGUUGUUCGGAAUUACUGGGCGUAAAGGGCGCGUAGGCGGUUUCCUAAGUCGGACGUGAAAUCCCCAAGCUUAACUUGGGAACUGCAUCCGAUACUGGGUAACUUGAGUUCGGGAGAGGAAUGUGGAAUUCCAGGUGUAGCGGUGAAAUGCGUAGAUAUCUGGAGGAACACCGGUGGCGAAGGCGGCAUUCUGGACCGAAACUGACGCUGAGGCGCGAAAGCCAGGGGAGCAAACGGG